GCCCUCAUAGCUCAGUAGCUGGAGCGGUAGCCUCGUAAGCUACAGGUCGGGGGUGCAAAUCCCCUUGAGGGCU
rnacentral:tRNA from 1 species